rnacentral:rRNA from 1 species
AUGGAUAGGCAAAGCACAUCAUCUCCGGUCUACAACCACGACGACAAGUUCGAUGCUAUGAAGAACUUCAUCGACGCCAAGAUGGACAAACAAAUGGAGGAGCUCAAGGCCCUCAUCAAGAACCACAAGCGGUCUUCCUCAUAUUCGAGAAGACGCUCAAGUGCAAAGACUCCCGAGCUACCAUCUCCAGCAAGUACACACAAGCAUCAACAUCGACAUGACCAUGAAGAGCGAGGUUCAGGACAUGCGUUGGCUGCUCUACCAACCCCGUGCACACGGGCCUUCGAACCCCGUGCACACGACCUCCGACAACCUCGUGCGCACGGGCUACACAGAGCCACGACUUCUACCUCAAGACUACGACUUCUUCAACACCUUUCGCAUCUUCGCCAAGUGACUUCAAGGCAUCUUCGCCUUUAG